rnacentral:rRNA from 1 species
CUACGAAGUAGGCUUCCGCAAGGACAUCUGUAGAGGUGCUGCAUGGCUGUCGUCAGCUCGUGUCGUGAGAUGUUGGGUUAAGUCCCGCAACGAGCGCAACCCUUGUCUUCUGUUGCCAUCAGGUUAUGCUGGGCACUCUGAAGAGACUGCCGGUGACAAACCGGAGGAAGGUGGGGAUGACGUCAAGUCAGCAUGGCCUUUAUGUCUGGGGCCACACACGUGCUACAAUGGCCGGUACAAACCGUUGCAAACUCGCGAGGGUGAGCUAAUCGGAGAAAGCCGGUCUCAGUUCGGAUUGUAGGCUGCAACUCGCCUGCAUGAAGUUGGAAUCGCUAGUAAUCGCGGAUCAGCACGCCGCGGUGAAUACGUUCCCGGGCCUUGUACACACCGCCCGUCACAUCACGAAAGCCGGCUGUACUAGAAGUCGCCGCGCUAACCCGCAAGGGAAGCAAGCGCCUAAGGUAUGGUCGGUGAUUGGGGUGAAGUCGUAACAAGGUAACCGU